GGCUGAUUAAGCCGGCGCGUGCGCGACAAGCGCCGGCCGAGCGCGUGUGCGGGACUCGGGGCGCGUGCUCGCGCGCCUGUGUUUGCGCGGUGUCGCUCAUGGGGACGUGUGUGUGUGUGAGUGUGUGUGUGUGUGUGUGUGUGUGAGUAAGCCAGUCAUUCUCUCAGUUUCUCUCUGGUUUGUGUUGAACUUUGAGGAAUGCUCUAGCUGAUGAUGAUGAUGAUGCUGCUGAUGAUGAUGAUGAUUACGUCAUCCUCAUCUCGGUAGAACGUCCGGUUGUGAGGAAGAGGAUGCUGGGCCGCAGCUCUUCAUCAGCAGACAGCCGUGCCUUGAUGACCGAAGGCCGCCUGGCAGCUCCAAGCUUCGUGACAAUCUGCAGCUUUUUGACCAAUCAGCUCCUGGAUCUGGAGCGGAGUGCUGGUGGAAAGAAAGUACACCCCGCACACUGACACACUGACUUCAUCUUGUUGUUUACGCUGCAAUGCAUCCUGGGUAGAUGAUAUAUGCUGCGCUAGCUGCCAUGAAGCUAGCUCCAACCAGACAGAACAGAAACACGGAAUAAUGUUCAAGCUCUUCAAUUUGAACUUUAGCAUUAGCUUUAGCUAAUGGUAUUAGCUCUAGUUACUGAUGUUAACUGUGGCUAAUGUUGCUAUCUCUAGCUAAUGGUGUUAAAUCUAGCUAGCAACAUUAGCCACAACCAUUAGCUAUAACUAAUGGUUUUGGCUCUAGGUAAAAACAAGAGUCAAAACCUAAACUAUGAAUAUUAGCUUUAGCUAAGCUCUCUUCCUGAGCUUCUUAUGUUUUGUUUAUAGGCUAACGUUCCCUGUAACCGACACAAACAACAUAAGAAAAUUAGAACAUAUUUAGUCCAACUAGUCAUGGAUCCAUUUAAGCAUUUUUCUCGUUUUCUGGUGGUUUCAGCAUCUCAGAAUGGAUCCAAAUCAGCCCCAGAUUUUCACAACCUGAGGCUGUGUUGCUGCUCUUUAACCUGAGAAGGGUUCAAAGGUCAAACUGUCUGAAGUUCAAAGGUCAAACCUUCUGAGGUCCAUCAUCCUCCAGAGAGGAAAACAUGUCAGAGAUCUUCCUGUUAGUGAACGUUCUAUCAAAUUCAGGCUGAAAUCAGAGAAAUGGUCUGUUAAAGGCCUCAUUCACAAGAAAAGGUUAAAGGUCAUGACCCAGAGCCAGGUUGGAACACAGCUGACCUUUUUCCUGACUGUAAACACAGUGGUGGAGGGGUCAUGAUGCGGGCUUGUUUUGCAUAAACUUCUCUGUAUCCUGAAGGUUUUUGAGGAAGUUUGGCCCAAACCGAGUCGUCAACGGAAACAAGAAUGAAGGUGUUUCAGUGGCCUAGUCAAAGUCCAGAGAGCUGAUUGGAUUGGACAGAUUUCAAGGCAUAGAUUUUAUGGGGUGUACUUACUUUUCACCAGAGUUAAAUCAGUCAGAUGUUUACAGGCUCAUGACGAUGUUUUAUUUUCUGGUAUUUUUGAAAGUUUGCAGCCUGGGAUCAGUUUCUGUUUCAGAGAUCUGAUUGGAGGAGAGCAGAGUCAGAAUCGAUCAGGUGUGUUAAUUCAUAAUCAAUAAUCCCGUUCAGAUUAGCUGUAAAAUCAGAAAAACAUCCAAAAUGCUCCUUUAAAGCUCUUUGCUGCUGCUGGGGUCAGAGGUCACAUGACCAGGAUGCUCCAGUCAUGGCCACUGAACGCGUGACUGUCGUCUUUCUCUCCGUGUGUCACCAUAACAACAAGAAGUUCAGUGUCGACGUGUUUUUGUACACGUUUUGUUUUUCAUCGAUGGAAAUGUUUUGUAAAUAAAUGUCCUUUUUCCACCAA